AAUUCGAUCAUAUCCCAGCUUAGAACUAUCAACUUGGACAUUGAUUUCAUUUGAUUUAUCUGGUGCUUUGGCUCUGAGUCCUCGCCUUCAAACCUCACCUCCAGCUUGUUCUUAAUUGUUUGCUUGAGGGCAAGCAAAGACUAAGUUUGGGGAGUUGAUAAGUGUGCAUUUUACAUGUUUUGAGCAUCCAUUUGUUAUCACUAUUGCAUCAUAUCACCACUGUUUUAUACCAUUUCUCAUCAUUUGUCAUCACUUUGCAUGUUUAGGAUAGUUUUGCAUGCAUGUUGCAUAUUUGUGUUGCUUUCAGGUGAUUUGGAGUUGUUGACGAGCUAAUUGGAAGAAGCGGACUUGAUCAUAUCAAACCACUCGACCCCCUGGUCGAGUAGAUGCUUCACGACCUCAACAGACCACUCGACCCCCUAGUCGAGUAGAAUACCUCAUCACUUUACGUCACCACUCGACCCCAUGAUCGAGUACCCCCACGACAACCACUCGAUCACAUCACUCGACCCCCUGGUCAAGUAUCAUCACCUCCACCACCUGACCAUCACUCGAUCACACCAC
rnacentral:sRNA from 1 species